rnacentral:lncRNA from 1 species
AAUAUUUAGAUUUUUUUGCACCCUCAGAUUCCAGAUUUUCAAAUAGUUGCAUCUCAGACAAAUAUUGUUUCCACACAUCAAUGGAGAGCUUAUUUAUUCAGCUUUCAGAUGAUGCAUAAAUCAAGAAACUGACCCUCAUGGCUGGUUUUGUGCUCCAGGGUCUCAUCUGAGAUCUAUGAUGUUGUGUGAUGAUUACACGAGAUGCUCAUGUGUCAAUGUGCUGCUUCUCCAGAGAAAGCGUCUGAUGGUGAUCCACAUGAACACAGCUUCACCUGCAGCGCUCAGUGAUGACGUGGAUUAUCUGUGUCCAGAACUUUCACCGCCAGCCUAUAGUCCGGUUCCUUCUUCAGAUCCGCCGGCCUAUGAGGAGGAGCGACGCUCCACUCUUUCUGGAGUUUCUACUCAGAAGUGGGCAAUGAGAAAAUGGAAAGAAGAACUGCAGCGCAGCCGAAAACCCAUCCAAGUCUGACCGGGAUCAUUUAUUUCCAGAUCAGUGAGACUUCUAUGCUCUAAAGUAGAGCUUUAGUGACUUGUGUUUUAUUUGACCUCUUAUAAUGUCCACAGGGCUCCGUUUAAUGCCCUUUAUUAGUGUCAUGUCUUUUAUCAUAACACUAUUUCUCACUUGCAUCAGAUGCACAUCAAUCAAUCUGAUGGACCUAUAGACGGCAUUCACUGGUGGAUGCCACAGAACUCUCUGCAAGACAUGAACUGAUGCAUUUUUAUAAUUUUGUCACAUUAAAAGGUUUUAAGUCAUGCUUCCAAAAAUUAAGACUUAAAAGAGCAAAGAAGUCGUGGCAUUAAAUGUUGCAUGAAGUGCACAAAUGAAUAUCUUCCUCAGUAUUUUUGUCUUGUUUAAGUACGAAUAUCUAAACAUCCUGAAAUCAAGAUAUGAAGUCUUGCUUCUCUAAAGAAGCUUAUCAAUAUGAAGAGAGUUUAAGGGGAAUAAAAACUGGUUUUCUCUUUGAGUUUGAAGUUGAUUUUUAUCUGUUGGACUUGUAUUUUCAUGCUGUUGCUAAUAUUGUGUUUGUAUAUUGUAUUCAGUUUUCUUUAACUGCUCUCAGAAAAGUCUUAAAGUCUUAAAUCUGCAUUCAUAAA